rnacentral:tRNA from 2 species
GGUCGUUUAGCUCAGCUGGGAGAGCACCUCCCUUACAAGGAGGGGUCACUGGUUCGAUCCCAGUAACGACCACCA